rnacentral:rRNA from 1 species
UACGUAGGGGGCAAGCGUUAUCCGGAUUCACUGGGUGUAAGGGGAGCGUAGACGGCCAUGCAAGCCUGGAGUGAAAGCCCGGGGCCCAACCCCGGGACUGCUCUGGGAACUGUGCGGCUGGAGUGCGGGAGGGGCAGGCGGAAUUCCUGGUGUAGCGGUGAAAUGCGUAGAUAUCAGGAGGAACACCGGCGGCGAAGGCGGCCUGCUGGACCGCGACUGACGUUGAGGCUCGAAAGCGUGGGGAGCAAACAGG